rnacentral:lncRNA from 1 species
UCACACAGAUAGCUGGUUACAAGCCUUUCCAAAUAUGGUUAGAAGUGUUUUCUGGUUAAUUCAGAGUGGUGAAUAUGGUGGGGCGGGGAAUCACUUUUGCUCUUUUGUGCAUUCUUGACUUAUUCCUCCCGUGUUGUACAGAAACGUGGGGAAUUUAUUUUUAUCAGGCACGACCCUGGGACGCAGUUCUAGCUCAACUGUUACAGCAACCGAUGACCGCUGUUAUUCCCGCUUUGACCGCGAGAGGGCAGCCUGCCCCAGCAAACCGUGACAUGAAGCCUGAACGCAUAAAAGGUGUUAACUGAAACAUGGAUCUCACAAAUUGGUGUAUGGGCACUAACAAAAAGGGAAAAAUAUGUCUUCAUUGAACCAUU